rnacentral:rRNA from 1 species
UACAGAGGGUGCAAGCGUUGUUCGGAAUUAUUGGGCGUAAAGCGCGUGUAGGCGGCUUUGCAAGUCGGGUGUGAAAGCCCUCGGCUCAACCGAGGAAGUGCGCCCGAAACUGCAGAGCUUGAGUGCCGGAGAGGGUGGCGGAAUUCCCCAAGUAGAGGUGAGAUUCGUAGAUAUGGGGAGGAACACCGGUGGCGAAGGCGGCCACCUGGACGGUAACUGACGCUGAGACGCGAAAGCGUGGGGAGCAAACAGG